GCAGACGGAGGGUCAUGGCUUCCUAGCCAUGGUUGACCAUGGUCUGAAACCACGAAAAGCGAAACCAUGGAGACUGGCACCAGUAAAACAUAAGCUUCUGGCUUUUACUUUAAAGGAAAGAUGCCAGCUUCUCAGCUCAUCCUUUAAUUGCCUUCUACGUAAUAGGAGAGGUUGUUAGUAUAGAGAACAAGCCAGAACAGGGAUAGGGAAGCCAACCGCUCUCGAUUCCGACCAUGGAAAGUUCACUGGGAGGCGUGGUUUGAAUCCAACCAGAGGAUGCAGGAGACUGGAGAAGAUUUCCCUUUCGCUUCAGGCCCACAGCAAAGUACAUUGCCCUCUUUCCUUUGCGAAGCAACCACCGAGCACUUCUCAGAGAAAUGCCACAAAGAUGCCUCAGCCUCGAACAAGAGUCCUUCGCCACGGCCUGGUUUCCUUCAGCCCCGAGAUACCAGAGUAAAGAGGGGAAUACGGAGAAGUCUGUCCUGGGAUGCAGGACACAUAGGCCUUGAGCCUGAGAGUUGCUGAGGCCUCAGCACAGAGUGCCAGAGUAUUCCGUAGCUGCACAUCUUUCACCAGACAGCCAGGUGGCAUUCAGGCGAAUGCAAGUGUGGCGUGACAAAAGGACUCAGGAUUGGGACACCGACGUCCGGGGCCCUGGAACUGUGCAGCGGCAUUGUGGUCCCCAUGCCCUCAGCCUCGGAACCACAGUGCACACAGACCAGCCUUCCAAAUGCCUGAAUCUCUACACUGCGUUGCUUUGCCGGAGGGAGUUCUCUGGAUAUCUCCCCGUGACAGACCGAAGCACCUGAGAAUGAGUAUCUCCCCCCACUUCUGUGGUGGUCUUCAACCCCAAACCAUCAGGAACUGGGGUCUGCAGCUCCCUUCUCCCUCAGGUGCAGGAACUCCAAGUGCCGGCCCAGAGAGGGACCGAGGCCAGCGUGUCCACACCCGAGCCAGGAAAGGGCGGAGCCACCAGCCAUAGAGCCUGAAGCAGGAAGCAGAGCCCCUGGGGACAGAAGGCUGCCACACCACUGCCCUGAUCCCAGGCUUCCAGCACAGGCUCCACAAAUAUGAAAGCACUCAAACGGAAUUCCCUGAGAGCACCAGGAAUGUGGCUUCCAAUGAAGAUGGUUGUCUUUUGCCGUGGAAUAUGACAUGAAGCUUCUUGACAUCUGAAGAUUUCCAAUGUCCACUUUGAGAGCCCACCCAUCAGAGCACUGUGGCAGCAGGAGUGUGGCCGAGAUUAGAGGUUGAAGACAGCUUUGUCGAAAUGAGCUACUGGCCUCAUGAGACCUGCUGAGGGGGUGAAGUGCGCAGGGAGGAAUAAACCCUGCCAUCAAAAAUGUCACCUUCAUCCAUGAGACAACAAGGCAGUCAUGAAUUGUGGUCACUGUCUGCCAUCCCCAACUUCCUAGGCACCGAGUGGCACAGCCUUUUCCAGUAUCGGAGAAACUUCCAAUCCUGCUGAAAUGACUUGGUACUCUAUUUCCAGACAGGAACGUAAUAGCAAGGAAGAUUCCCAAAAGUAUUUUGCAAGCCUGUGCCUCCCACAUAAUAAGCAUUCAGCAAACAUCUGCUGAUACAUUGGUCAAGUCCCAAUCUGGAAGCACCUGCAAGGUACAACUGACUACGAGAGGCAGGAUGCUCGUCGACAUGAAGUGGUAUUCUGCAACUUUCAGUGCUCUAAAGCUCUCCAUUACCAAGGGAAAGGAUUUCCACUCAAUUAGAUCACAAAAUAGAGGAUUAUGCGGUUUGAGUCCCAACAUGGGGAAGACUUGAAGAGAUUGUGUGUCAGAAAAACUAACUGAAGACAAGAGCUACAAUGUGUGUUAGCACGGAGGCAGUGUCCGCCCCAAGAACAGUCAGGUAUUUGUCUUCCUUUGUGCCUUCAGAGGGCUGUGUUGAGGGCUAGCACUCAUUUCCAGGAGAAAUGAAUCGCGCACCCUCAGAUUGGAUGUGGCUAGCUGGGUCUAGAGGGUGUCAGUCUUUGAGCUGCGUGCCGUCUAACGUCAACACUUCGUUUACUUACAACGUAAAUUAAAUCCCUGAGCUGGAGCAAGCCAGGGGAGAGACAGCGAGCUAGACUUGUCACGGCAGGAAAGAGUAAAACACAGGGAUCCUCGCAAAACAUAUUAAAGAUGUAAAUUUGGGUAGGAAAAAAUCCCGUUAUGAUUAUUGCUUAUUACCUGUUGUUACUUAAUCUGAAUUCUUCCAGGAAAUUUGAGUUUACCGAAUUCAGCUUGGUAGGACUCAGUGGAAUAAAGCUGAAAGAAAGAGUGUUAAAUUCUCCACCUGGUUUGGUUGUUGAUUUCUCUUUAACCUAUAGGUGGUUCGUUGUAUUCUGCCCUUGACAGAUAGUUAAUAAAAUUAUGGUCAAUUUGGG